rnacentral:rRNA from 1 species
GACGAACGCUGGCGGCGUGCUUAACACAUGCAAGUCGAACGGAAAGGCCCUGCUUUUGUGGGGUGCUCGAGUGGCGAACGGGUGAGUAACACGUGAGUAACCUGCCCUUGACUUUGGUAUAACUUCAGGAAACUGGGGCUAAUACCGGAUAGGAGCUCCUGCUGCAUGGUGGGGGUUGGAAAGUUUCGGCGGUUGGGGAUGGACUCGCGGCUUAUCAGCUUGUUGGUGGGGUAGUGGCUUACCAAGGCUUUGACGGGUAGCCGGCCUGAGAGGGUGACCGGCCACAUUGGGACUGAGAUACGGCCCAGACGCCUACGGGAGGCAGCAGUGGGGAAUAUUGCAAAAUGGGCGGAAGCCUGAUGCAGCAACGCCGCGUGCGGGAUGACGGCCUUCGGGUUGUAAACCGCUUUCGCCUGUGACGAAGCGUGAGUGACGGUAAUGGGUAAAGAAGCACCGGCUAACUACGUG